UUAUCACAAUAUUUUUGUUCUGUCUCUAAAAUCUCAGGCUGGGAUGAGUCCUCUUUUAGAUGGGUUCAAAGCUGCAGUGAAAAAGCUGGAGUUCUAUUCUUGAAAUAGAAAAAAAGAAAGAAUAUAAGGAUGGGCAACUGCCAUAAUUCCCAAUUACCAGCCCAGACCUCUCUGCUGAGCUCUAGGUUGUCCAUUAUUCUCUGUGGGUGGCUCUACCUGGAUGUCUCCCAGCCACUCUAGGAUUUUCUCUCUCAGCACCCCCAAUGCUAUUUUAGGACUGGCACCUCCAUUCAUUCUGCUACCCAAACCAAAGCCUUGUUGGCGUGGUGAUGCUUCUCUCACUCUCUCCGUCACUCAGCCGUUCACUAAGUCCUGGAUGUACCCUGAAAUCCAUCUACUUCUUCCCAUUCUUCUGUAACUCUCCUGCCUAGACCAUCUCUGGGCUGGAUGAGUGGAAAAAUCCGAUCAUGAGAAUAACGUCAUCACAUUGAGCUUAAGACAAAAUGUUCUUUCUUUGGCUUGCCCUGCAAUGCCCAUCAUGAGCACACUUCAGCAGUUUCCAUCUGAAUCUUCUUCCAUCUCUCUCUACCUCUUUGGCUGCCUGGACCUCCUAGAACUUGGCUUUCUCUUGUCUCCGAACAUCCUCACCUGCUUAGCCUUUGUGUAUCACACCUCCUCCACCUCUCUGUCCCUUUGCUGACUCAGCCAUAUUAGUCACUCUUCAGGUCUCCCUGUAAGAGUCACUUUCUAUUUUUUCCUAAGCCAGCAUGUAUUGGCCAUUUCCUAUGUGCAUAGCAAGGUGCUUAGCUGUUUAUGUGGAUUACCUCAUUUUAUUCUUCUCCAGGACCCGAGGAGGUGGGAACUGCUAUUAUCCAUACUUUAUAUAUGUAGAAGUUUGAGACAUGGAUGGUAAGGGGCACAUCCAGAACUCAAACCCAGGUAUCUGUCAUCAAAGCUUUGUCUUUCACCCUUUGGUAAAUGGAAGCCUUCUGCUACUUCUCCUACCAUAGACUCUGCUAGGGACUUGGGAUGCGAUCCCGAGGCAUCUGACCCUCUGCUCCCUCUGUGGGACACCUUUAUGCUUCUUGGUACCCUGCUGUGUUCCUCCCAUCCCUGAAAGCCAGCAUUGAGGUAACCUCUAAAUUCUCUAAGCAUCUUGUGUACAGGAUUUGGGGCAUGUGUGCCCAGUUAAAGAAUUAGCUUUUGGGAUCUUACCUGCAUCUCACCAUUCAUUAUGACCUUAGCAAUGAUUUAACCUCUUCAUGUCUGCAUAAAAGGUAUAAAAUGUAAAAUUGGAGCUCCUGUAGUGGCACAGUGGAAACGCAUCCCACUAGUAUCCAUGAGGAUGUGGGUUUGAUCCCUGGGCUCGAUCGGUGGGUCAGGGAUCUGGCGUGGUCGUGAGCUGUGGUGUAGGUCUCAGACAUAUCUCAGCUCCCACAUUGCUGUGGCUGUGGUGUAGACUGGCAGCUGUAGCUCUGAUUCGACCCCUAGCCUGGGACCUUCCAUAUGCCACAGGUUCUGCCCUAAAAAGCAAAACAAAAAAAACCUAUAAAAUGGAACCUAAUGGCUAUUUCUACAACAGAGUUGUUAUGAAGAAAAAAUUAGGUAGUGCUACACACUAAAUGUGUCUGCCCACCCGCCUCCACCAAUUUCUAUGUUGAAUGGAAAUCCUAAUGGAGGUAGGGCCUUUGUGAGAGUCAGGUCAUGAAGGUGGAGCCCUCGUCUUUGGGAUUAGUGUCUAAUAAGAAGAGGCACGAGAGCCAUGUGAAGAUGCAAUGAGAAGGCAGCCAUCUACAAGCCAGGGAACAACAGGCUCUCACCAGAUACUGGAUCUGCUGUUGCCUGGACCUUGACCUCCUUAGCGUCUGAAACUGUGAGAAAUAAAUGGUUGCUGUUUAAGCCACCCAGUCAUGGUAUUCUGGCUGAAUUGGCCAAGACAGGUAGGAAAAGUAGAAAAAAUACAAAUCUUUUCUAAAAAAAAGGAAAGCACUUGCUCUAGUGCCUGGUGCUUGGUAAGCCCUCCGAGGUUAGCGACUGUUUUUUUCUGUGUUAUUCUUACUGUAAUACAUGGACUGCAGUGCCUCUAACACUCUGUUUCAGAUACUCAUUUACAGGCCUGCCCCUGUCACUAGACUGUUGGUUCGAAGGCAGGCAGCAUGUCAAGCCAUCUUUGCAUCUCUAGCAUCUGCCCAGAGGGUAGCUCUGUUUAAUAGCAGUUGGUGGAAAGAAUGGAUAGUGACUUGUCAUCCUCGAAGUCUCUUCUAAAGGAGCAGCAUCCGAAAGCCUGCUCAUCGAGUGGCAGCUGGGGACCCAGAUUGGUUUGUCUUGGAGAAAGGUCACAGCUGGAAAGCCCAGCAACGGAACCUCUCCCGCAUGAUGCCAGCUCCGUGCUUGCUCAGAUUUCCAAAAUAACAGAGGAGCAACUUCUCUCCGGAAAUGGUCUUAGAGGGUGUGCAAGUCUGAGAGGCAGAGAUGAAGGUGUACAUGGCAUUUUCUGUGUCUGAGCCGUAUUUCAGUUAUCUGAGAGAGCCUGUCUGCAAGAAGGCUUAGAAAGCAGUGCUCGAGAGCUGGCACUCCAGAAGCAGACAGCCUGGGUCCAAUCCGCAUUCCACUGAGAACCAUCCAUGUGACUCAGAGCCUGCGGAGAUUCAACCAUGCCAAGCCCCAGUUUAUUCCAUUAAAUGGGGCUCAUUAUUAUGAUUGGAACUGAUUGUAAUUAUUAUAGAAACGGUUUCAUAGAGGUAUUGUGAGAGUUAAGAGACAUGCAUGAAAAGCAUUUGACACAAUUUUCAGCUGGUAACAUUCAUUAAAUAAUGGCUUGUUUUUGCUGCCAUUAACUCAUCCUUCAGAGGGUUUCCCAGUCCAUGUCUUAGAGCUCAGGCUGAGACAUCAGCUUCAGGCCAAUCGUUAAUUCAUUGUAUAUUAACCAGUUAUUCAAUAAUUGCAAGGCUUUGUGCUGGAUUCUUUGGGGGUAUGAAUCAGAAAAGAAUUAAUCCCUCAAUGAACUUCUGCUUUUAUCUAAGAAGACAAGACAGCUUCAUAGAUCAUAGCAAGUGGCUAAAUCUCUUGGGCUGCAAACACCUCUCUUCUAAAAAUGGAAGACUGUGGGCCAAGAAUGGAAACCCACUGAACAAAGCCACGCUGUUCUUAAGAUGGACAUGACAGUGGAUGGGUGGCUAGAACGGGGGUGAUUUUAAAUAGAAUUCUGUUGAAAGAUACUGGGGAAGUCCUCCAACCGUAUCAUGCCUCGAACCUUGGCAUAUGCUGGGCACCCCUACCCCUGCCACUGGAAAGCAGCCCCUUUGUCCUCCUGCCCCUUUCAAUCUUAUACCUUCUAUUUACCCUGCAGGACUCAGUCUAAGCAUCGCUGCCACAGGGAAGGUCUUCCCUAAUCUAUCUCUGUUUUAUUUCCGUUAGCGUUGUAUGCACGUCCCUUUCAUAGAAGUUACUAUUCAGUACUUUAAUCGUCUGCUAGGGGAGUUCCCGUCGUGGCUCAGCAGAAAUGAAUCUGACUAGCAGCCAUGAGGACGCAGGUUUGAUCCCUGGCCUCGCUCAGUGGAUUAAGAAUCCAGCAUUGAUGUGAGCUGUGGUGUCUCAGAUGUGUCUCAGAUCCCACAUGGCUGUGGCUGUGGC
rnacentral:lncRNA from 1 species